rnacentral:rRNA from 1 species
UAUUAUAACUCCAACCCAUGUGAACUUACCUAUUGUUGCCUCGGUAGGCUGUGCUAUAUGAUAUGGGAAGCUACCCUGCAGCUACAUACCCUAAAUAGGAGUUGCCCUAGAGUGGAGUCUUAGGACUUGCACGCUGGAGAGAAGCCACCUUAGGGCAUGGAAAGCCGUUUACAGAUGAGCACCGAUCUAAUAGCAUGCUAAAAAGCCUGCCGAAGGACCACUAAACUCUGUUUUAUACUGUAUUUCUGAGUAAAUUAUACAAAUAAGUUAAAACUUUCAACAACGGAUCUCUUGGUUCUGGCAUCGAUGAAGAACGCAGCGAAAUGCGAUAAGUAAUGUGAAUUGCAGAAUUCAGUGAAUCAUCGAAUCUUUGAACGCACAUUGCGCCUAAUAGUAUUCUGUUAGGCAUGCCUGUUCGAGCGUCAUUUCAACCCCCAAGCCCUAUUUGCUUGACGUUGGGAGCUUACAGCUGCUGUAACUCCUUAAAUUUAGUGGCGGAGCUAGGUCAUGCUCUGAGCGUAGUAAUUCUUUUUUUCUCGCUCCUGAUGCUGGCUUGUAUCCUGCCGUAAAACCCCCUAAAUUUUAUUCUGGUUGACCUCGGAUCAGGUAGGAAUACCCGCUGAACUUAAGCAUAUCAAUAAGCGGGAGGAA